UACAGAGGUCUCAAGCGUUGUUCGGAUUCAUUGGGCGUAAAGGGCGCGUAGGCGGCGGGGUAAGUCGGGUGUGAAAUCUCAGAGCUCAACUCUGAAACUGCACUCGAUACUGCUCUGCUUGAGGACUGGAGAGGAGACUGGAAUUCACGGUGUAGCGGUGAAAUGCGUAGAUAUCAGGAGGAAUACCGGUGGCGAAAGCGGGUUGCUGGGCUGACACUGACGCUGAGGCGCGAAAGCCAGGGGAGCGAACGGG
rnacentral:rRNA from 1 species